rnacentral:rRNA from 1 species
GAUGAACGCUGACAGAAUGCUUAACACAUGCAAGUCUUUGGCGAAUCUGCGCUUGCGCAGGCUAGCCAAGGCGGACGGGUGAGUAGCGCGUAAAGAACUUGCCCUGCAGACAGGGAUAACAGACGGAAACGACUGACAACACCUGAUACGGUUGCCGGCACGCAUGUGCCAGGCAAUGAAAAGCGAUGCUGCAGGAGAGCUUUGCGUCCUAUUAGCUUGUUGGUGAGGUAACGGCUCACCAAGGCGACGAUAGGUAGCCGGCCUGAGAGGGUGAACGGCCACAAGGGGACUGAGAUACGGCCCUUACUCCUACGGGAGGCAGCAGUGGGGAAUAUUGGACAAUGGGGGCAACCCUGAUCCAGCAAUUCUGUGUGCACGAAGAAGGCUUUCGGGCUGUAAAGUGCUUUCAGCAGGGAAGAAGCAAGUGACGGUACCUGCAGAAGAAGCGACGGCUAAAUACGUGCCAGCAGCCGCGGUAAUACGUAUGUCGCAAGCGUUAUCCGGAAUUAUUGGGCAUAAAGGGCAUCUAGGCGGCCAGGCAAGUCUGGGGUGAAAACCUGCGGCUCAACCGCAGGCCUGCCCUGGAAACUGCGUGGCUAGAGUGCUGGAGAGGUGGACGGAACUGCACGAGUAGAGGUGAAAUUCGUAGAUAUGUGCAGGAAUGCCGAUGAUGAAGAUAGUUCACUGGACGGCAACUGACGCUGAAGUGCGAAAGCCGGGGGAGCAAACAGG